GACGAACGCUGGCGGCGUGCCUAAUACAUGCAAGUCGAGCGAAUCUUUAGGAGCUUGCUCCUAAAGGUUAGCGGCGGACGGGUGAGUAACACGUGGGCAACCUGCCUAUAAGGCUGGGAUAACUUCGGGAAACCGGAGCUAAUACCGGAUAAUUCCUUUCCUCUCAUGAGGAAAGGCUGAAAGACGGUUUCGGCUGUCACUUAUAGAUGGGCCCGAGUCGCAUUAGCUAGUUGGUGAGGUAACGGCUCACCAAGGCAACGAUGCGUAGCCGACCUGAGAGGGUGAUCGGCCACACGGGGACUGAGACGCGGCCCAGACUCCUACGGGAGGCAGCAGUAGGGAGUCUUCCGCAAUGGACGAAAGUCUGACGGAGCAACGCCGCGUGAGUGAUGAAGGUUUUCGGAUCGUAAAACUCUGUUGUUAGGGAAGAACAAGUACGAGAGUAACUGCUCGUACCUUGACGGUACCUAACCAGAAAGCCACGGCUAACUACGUGCCAGCCGCCGCCGUAACAC
rnacentral:rRNA from 1 species